GUGCUCACUUCGGCAGCAUAUAUACUAAAAUUGGAACAUGCAGAGAAGAUUAGCAUGGCUCCCGCACAAGGAUGACACGCUUCUAAAAUGCCAUCAGUGUCUAU